UUUUUCAUUCUAUGCUUGACCCCACUCACACACACUCCUCGCUCGCUCUCUCUCUCUCUCUCUCUCUCGUCUCUCUCUCAAAUUCGCCGGGCUCUCUAAUUUUCCGAUCACCGGAGACUUUUGCUUGCUACAUUUGCGUGAAAAUGUCUCGUGUGUUGGCGUCUCAGGCUUCUCAGAAACCCAAAGUUGUUAUCGGUGAUAAAUAUAUGCUUGGUGAUGAGAUUGGGAGAGGAGCUCAUGGUAGAGUUUACAAAGCGUUGAAUUUGGAGAAUGGACAGUUUGUUGCAGUUAAGCAGGUUUCUUUGGAGAAUAUUAAGGAUGAGGAACUUAAGAAUAUAAUGAACGAGAUUGACUUGCUCAAGAACCUGGACCACAAAAAUAUCGUCCAAUAUCUUGGAUCGUCCAAGACGGAGAGUCAUCUUCACAUAAUUCUCGAGUACGUGGAAAAUGGUUCUCUUGCAAACAUCAUCAAGUCAAAUAAUUUCGGCCCAUUAUCAGAAUCUCUUGUUGCUGUGUACAUAGCUCAGGUUUUGGAGGGUCUAGUUUAUCUGCAUGAACAAGGCGUGAUCCAUCGCGAUAUUAAGGGUGCAAAUAUAUUGACAACUAAAGAGGGUCGUGUGAAACUUGCAGAUUUUGGUGUUGCUACAAAGUUAACUGAGGCAAAUAUUAAUGAACCUUCAUAUACCGGGACAGCAUAUUGGAUGGCCCCUGAGGUGGUCAAUACGCCUGGAGUUUGUGUGGCAUCUGAUAUAUGGAGUGUUGGAUGUACUGUGAUUGAGCUGCUCACAGGUUCACCUCCAUACAGUGGCUACGAUCCGUGGCCAGCUCUUUGGCAGAUUGCACAGGUUAAGCAGCCACCUAUACCAGACAGCCUUUCUCCUGCUGUUACAGAUUUUGUGCAUCAGUGUUUUAAAGAGGAUCACAGGCAGAGGGUGGAUGCCAAGACUUUGCUUUCCCACCCUUGGAUACUAAGGUCAAGGCCUGGUGUAGACUCUUCCCUUUGUCACAGUAGACCAUCGAGAAAUAUUAAUGAAGAUUGUCCAAUGGAUGCUGAGACAUCGAAUGGACACCAUCAGGGCUCUGUUGACAUUCUCCCUGCCAUGAAUGCUAAUGGUGUUGAUGAUGGAUUGCCUACCGAUGAUCUCUUUCAUCAGCAGGCUGUUGAAUAUAGCAAAUUAGUUGCGACUCUGAGGCCAGAUGAACCAGAAGACGUGAUUGUUUAUGCUUGCCAGAAAUUAGCAGCUUUCUUUCACGAACGUCCUGAGCAAAAGUUUGUUUUCCUUACCCAGCACAGUUUCCUUUCACUAGUGGAGUUAUUCGAGAUUUCCGAAAACCGUGUCGUAUGCUCAGUACUUCAAGUUUUAAAUGUGAUUAUCAGGGACAAUACUGACAUCCAGGAAAACGCUUGUCUAGCAGGCCUGAUUCCAUCAAUCAUGAGCUUUGCUGUACCUGAUCGCCCUUACGAAGUUCGUAGAGAAGCAGCUUAUUUCUUGAAUCAACUUUGUCACUCGAGCUCCUUGACUUUGCAUAUGUUUAUUGCUUGCGGUGGUAUUUCGGUUCUUGUGGGCUUUCUUGAGGCUGACUACUCUAAGCACAGGGAAGUGAUUCAUCUUGCAAUUGACGGACUGUGGCAAGUAUUUAAGCUUCAGUCGCGGACUCCUAGGGAUGAUUGUUGUCACAUAGCUGCAAAGAAAGGAUUGUUACCUAGGCUUAUCAACGCCCUGUGUAGUUUGAAUGAAGCAACUCAACUGGCUUCCAUUUCUAAUGGAGGUGGGUUACCUUCUGAUGCUGUAGUUCUCCAACCAAUGUCUGCUGACCCUAGAAAUUCUUGGAGUCCUACGUCACCUGGAUUAUUUUCCCAUAUGGAUUCACCUGGGCAUGCAGAUCUUUCCAGGAAAUGUAUUGAAAUGGGGGCUGGCUUGUUUCUGCUGUUUUCUGAAUCUGACACAACUGUAAAGUCCUACAUGUGUAGUCAAAGCAUUCUCAGCCGUGUUUUCCAGAUGUUUAAUAAGUUAGAACCCGUUGUUCUUUUGAAGCUGCUGAAAUGCAUAAAUCAUCUGUCAACCGACCCACACUGUUUAGAUAAUCUUCAGAGGGCAGAAGCAAUCAGACAUUUGAUCCCAAACCUUGAUCUCAAAGAAGAUGAAGGUCCUCUUGUCAGCCACAUCCACUACGAGGUCCUCAAUGCGCUAAUUAAUCUUUGCAAAAUAAAUAAGAGGAGACAGGAACAAGCAGCAGAAAAUGGAAUAAUUCCACAUCUGGUGCAUUAUAUCAUGUCAGGCUCCCCUUUAAAAGAAUAUGCAUUGCCUCUGCUUUUUGAUAUGGCUCAUGCAUCACCUACCUCAAGGGAACAGUUGAGGGCUCAUGGAGGAUUGGAUGUUUACCUGAGCCUACUUGAAGAUGACAUUUGGUCAGUUACGGCAUUAGAUUCUAUUGCUCUUUGUCUGGCACAUGAUAAUGACAAGAAAAAAGUAGAGCAAGCUAUGUUGAGAAAGGAUGCUGUUCAGAAGUUGGUCAAUUUUUUUCAGUCCUGUCCAGCACAGCAUUUUGUACAGAUACUGGAGCCUUUGUUGAAGAUUGUUACGAAAUCGUCCCGAAUAACCAAGUUGGUUGUACCUGGCUUAAUGCCGUUACUCAUUUCAAGGCUCGAUCAUUGUGAUGCUAUGGAACGUUUAAACUUGCUCAAACUAAUAAAGGCUGUAUACGAGCACCAUCCACAUCCAAAGCAAUUGAUUUUGGACAAUAACUUGCCUGAAAAGCUUCAGAAUCUUAUUGAGGAGCGUCAAGAUGCACAGACUUCCGGUGGACAUGUUUUGGUGAAGCAGAUGGCCACAUCGUUGCUCAAGGCACUCCAUGUCAACACGAUUUUGUGAUGGAUAUGUCUGGAGUUUGUGUGGCAUCUGAGAUAUGCAGUGUUCAAUGCACUGUGAUUGAGCCUUACAGGUUCACCUAUAUACUGUGGUUUCAAUCCCUCGUCAGCUCUCUGGCAGAUUGCACAGGAUGAGUAGCGGCCUAUACUUGACAGCCUUUCUCCCGCUGUACAGGAUUUUUGUGCAUCAGUCUUUUAAAAAGGAUUUGAAGACUGAGGAUAUGAUUUCUUUUAGAGUGAAGAGUGAUGAGUCAGAGGAAAUACUCGGCUUUGUAACGUGGAUGAAUAGAUAAGAAGUUCAAGGAUAAGCAUAUGUGAUGAAGAUGCAGGGAAGCUCAACCAAACACAACACCAGUGAUUAAGGUCUGGGAAGGUGUCCUGUACUCGUAGCAAGCAAUGCAGCAUCCAUGGCAGCGGUGAUGACUUUGAUUAUGGAACAAGAGCAGUUGCUGGGUGAAGCCGGAGGGAGCUGGGUAGAGAAUCUCCUGGGCACCAUCGAUAUCAUAGAAUCAUCGAGGACAAGAACAUCUUUUUAAACUCAUCAUGUUGCCUUUUCUUCUUCACUUUGCAAGAUUCUCCAAACUGCUAUAAGAAAUCUUUUGGCCUUGCAAUAAAAAUGUGCAACUAUUUCUCCUUUUAAAUCCAUAGUCCAUUGCAUGUUUUUCCUUGCAAAGUUAGUACUAUAUAUUUAGAGCGAGCUACUUUGAGCUAUAAAGUUCAUCUAUAAAGUUAGUACUUCCAGAAAGAGAUUUGAGCAAGUUUUACAGCAGACUGCUGAGCAUAUUUCAAAUCAUGGUAGAUUUUUGACC